GUGGACGUGUUGUAAUUGGCAGCAUAUUCAUUUUUGCCAAAUAAAUGGUACGGGUUCGACCCCCGUCGUUCACACCA
rnacentral:tRNA from 1 species